UCACGCUCUGGAGUCGUACACCGCCCUGCCUUACAACCAGAGGAGCCCCUGCCCCCCCAACCCCAUCAACCGCCCCGCCUACCAAGGCAGCAACCCCAUCAGCGACGUCUGGUCCCGCCACGCCCUUAAUGUCCUCGCCAAGUACAUGAAACGAGCGGUGCGGGACCCUGAGGACCUGGAGGCCCGGUCCAGCAUGCACCUGGCCAGUGUGUUUGCUGGGAUUGGUUUUGGAAACGCUGGAGUUCAUCUGUGUCACGGGAUGUCCUAUCCGAUCGCUGGCAACGUGAAGACUCACUCAGCGAAGGGUUACAGCGUGGAGCACGCCCUGGUGCCUCAUGGUCUCUCAGUCGUCCUCACGUCUCCGGCCGUCUUCAACUUCACAGCUCCAAUGUGUCCAGAGCGCCACCUGGAGGCUGCAGAGAUCCUUGGUAUCUGUUCAUAAAGCACAACACACACAAAACACAACCUGCACUCAGACAGACUCUGUGAGGCGUUCAGGUGCAUUAACAGACUCUGUGAGGCGUUCAGGUGCAGCGACAGACUCUGUGAGGCGUUCAGGUGCAUUAACAGACUCUGUCAGGCUUUCAGGUGCAGCGACAGACUCUGAGGCGUUCAGGUGCAUUAACAGACUCUGUGAGGCGUUCAGGUGCAGCGACAGACUCUGUGAGGCGUUCAGGUGCAGUGACAGACUCUGUGAGGCGUUCAGGUGCAGCGACAGACUCUGUGAGGCGUUCAGGUACAGCGACCUACUCUGUGAGGCGUUCAGGUGCAGUGACAGACUCCAUGUUAAGGUACAGUUAUAAUCCCUCUGUGUUGCGUUCAGGUGCAGACAUCAGUCAGGUGAAGCGGGAGGAUGCAGGUCCUGUUCUUGCAGACACGCUGCGUCAGUUACUGUACGACCUGAAGGUGGAGGACGGACUCGCUGCUGUGGGCUAUAGUAAAGACGACAUCCCGGAUCUGGUGAAAGGAACCAUCCCUCAGGAGCGAGUGACCAAACUGUCCCCCAGAGAACACACCGAGGAGGACCUGAGCCUCCUGUUUGAAGCCUCUAUGAAGCUAUACUGACCACACAGACACACACAUACACACACACACACACACACACACACACACACACACACACACACAACACACACUGUGUCUUUAAACUGAUCUCCUGUCUGCUUUGUGUUGAGCUGCAGUUCCUCUAACAGCCACUAGAUGGUACUGUUUCUCCUCUGACACUCACCUCUACCUCAUUUUAUAUAAACAAUGUUUCAAUCAAA